rnacentral:rRNA from 1 species
CCCUUAGAUGUCCUGGGCCGCACGCGCGCUACACUGAGUGUCUGAGAUACGAGUCUGCCUGGUCCGGCAAGGUCUAGGUAAUCGCUAAAAGACACAUCAUGCUUGGGAUAGAUUAUUGCAAAUAUUAAUCUUGAACGAGGAAUUCCUAGUAAGCGCGAGUCAUCAGCUCGCGCUGAUUACGUCCCUGCCCUUUGUACACACCGCCCGUCGCUACUACAGAGUGCCCGUGUCCAAGAAACGGUUGGACCUGUGCGGCCUCUCCGGGCGACCGGAGGGCCGUUACGGGAAAGACCCUUUAUUUGACGCGGGUCGAUGAAGUAAAAGUCGUAACA